GCCCGCCGGAGUGCCGAAACUAAACUCUUGAUAUUUUAUGUCUCUCUGAGUAAACUUUUAAAUAAGUCAAAACUUUCAACAACGGAUCUCUUGGUUCUGGCAUCGAUGAAGAACGCAGCGAAAUGCGAUAAGUAAUGUGAAUUGCAGAAUUCAGUGAAUCAUCGAAUCUUUGAACGCACAUUGCGCUCGCCAGUAUUCUGGCGAGCAUGCCUGUUCGAGCGUCAUUUCAACCAUCAAGCUCUGCUUGCGUUGGGGAUCCGCGGCUGCCCGCGGUCCCUCAAAAUCAGUGGCGGGCUCGCUAGUCACACCGAGCGCAGUAACUCUACAUCGCUAUGGUCGUGCGGCGGGUUCUUGCCGUAAAACCCCCCAUUUCUAAGGUUGACCUCGGAUCAGGUAG
rnacentral:rRNA from 1 species